UACGAAGGGGGCUAGCGUUGUUCGGAAUUACUGGGCGUAAAGGGCGCGUAGGCGGCCUUCUAAGUCAGACGUGAAAUCCCCCGGCUUAACCUGGGAACUGCGUCUGAUACUGGAAGGCUUGAGUGCGGGAGAGGGAUGUGGAAUUCCAGGUGUAGCGGUGAAAUGCGUAGAUAUCUGGAGGAACACCGGUGGCGAAGGCGGCAUCCUGGACCGACACUGACGCUGAGGCGCGAAAGCUAGGGUAGCAAACGGG
rnacentral:rRNA from 1 species